rnacentral:rRNA from 1 species
GACGAACGCUGGCGGCGUGCCUAAUACAUGCAAGUCGAACGAACUCUGGUAUUGAUUGGUGCUUGCAUCAUGAUUUACAUUUGAGUGAGUGGCGAACUGGUGAGUAACACGUGGGAAACCUGCCCAGAAGCGGGGGAUAACACCUGGAAACAGAUGCUAAUACCGCAUAACAACUUGGACCGCAUGGUCCGAGUUUGAAAGAUGGCUUCGGCUAUCACUUUUGGAUGGUCCCGCGGCGUAUUAGCUAGAUGGUGGGGUAACGGCUCACCAUGGCAAUGAUACGUAGCCGACCUGAGAGGGUAAUCGGCCACAUUGGGACUGAGACACGGCCCAAACUCCUACGGGAGGCAGCAGUAGGGAAUCUUCCACAAUGGACGAAAGUCUGAUGGAGCAACGCCGCGUGAGUGAAGAAGGGUUUCGGCUCGUAAAACUCUGUUGUUAAAGAAGAACAUAUCUGAGAGUAACUGUUCAGGUAUUGACGGUAUUUAACCAGAAAGCCACGGCUAACCACGUGCCAGCAGCCGCGGUAAUACGUAGGUGGCAAGCGUUGUCCGGAUUUAUUGGGCGUAAAGCGAGCGCAGGCGGUUUUUUAAGUCUGAUGUGAAAGCCUUUGGCUCAACCGAAGAAGUGCAUCGGAAACUGGGAAACUUGAGUGCAGAAGAGGACAGUGGAACUCCAUGUGUAGCGGUGAAAUGCGUAGAUAUAUGGAAGAACACCAGUGGCGAAGGCGGCUGUCUGGUCUGUAACUGACGCUGAGGCUCGAAAGUAUGGGUAGCAAACAGGAUUAGAUACCCUGGUAGUCCAUACCGUAAACGAUGAAUGCUAAGUGUUGGAGGGUUUCAGCCCUUCAGUGCUGCAGCUAACGCAUUAAGCAUUCCGCCUGGGGAGUACGGCCGCAAGGCUGAAACUCAAAGGAAUUGACGGGGGCCCGCACAAGCGGUGGAGCAUGUGGUUUAAUUCGAAGCUACGCGAAGAACCUUACCAGGUCUUGACAUACUAUGCAAAUCUAAGAGAUUAGACGUUCCCUUCGGGGACAUGGAUACAGGUGGUGCAUGGUUGUCGUCAGCUCGUGUCGUGAGAUGUUGGGUUAAGUCCCGCAACGAGCGCAACCCUUAUUAUCAGUUGCCAGCAUUAAGUUGGGCACUCUGGUGAGACUGCCGGUGACAAACCGGAGGAAGGUGGGGAUGACGUCAAAUCAUCAUGCCCCUUAUGACCUGGGCUACACACGUGCUACAAUGGAUGGUACAACGAGUUGCGAACUCGCGAGAGUAAGCUAAUCUCUUAAAGCCAUUCUCAGUUCGGAUUGUAGGCUGCAACUCGCCUACAUGAAGUCGGAAUCGCUAGUAAUCGCGGAUCAGCAUGCCGCGGUGAAUACGUUCCCGGGCCUUGUACACACCGCCCGUCACACCAUGAGAGUUUGUAACACCCAAAGUCGGUGGGGUAACCUUUUAGGAACCAGCCGCCUAAGGUGGGACAGAUGAUUAGGGUG